rnacentral:misc_RNA from 1 species
AAAGAAUAACGUGAUCAAUUUUUUUGCAUAACAUCUUUGUAGUCUUUACCUGAGUUGCUGGUGUCCAUAAUUCUUAUUGGAGUCUUGAUUUCUGCUUUAUUUUUACAUCUGGUAGGAAUGAUGCUAUGCUUCAAAUUCAAAGGGAUCUUCCAUUUGUACUUACUAUACCAUUAUGCAAGGAUAAAAACAUGACACAAUCAUUAAUUAUUCAUGCAUUGUUAAUAUUUUGGGAUAUUACACUGUACUAUAAAUGAUUUAGAUCCUAUUGAUGACCAUAUUUGAGAAAUUAUUGUAGAGCAGAUUUCAUGCUUUUUACUUCUAA